rnacentral:lncRNA from 1 species
AUGCCAGCCUCAUUCCAGACACCCCCAAACCAGAAACAGCCCAGGAGCCCAUUAACAGAUUCAUGGGAAAAUGUAUUGCAGUCUAUUCCGUCACUGGACUCUUAUGCAGCAGUGAAGACAGGUAUCCCAUCACUGGACUCUUACGCAGCAGCGAAGACAAGUGUCCCAUCACUGGACUCUUACGCAGCAGCGAAGACAGGUGUCCCAUCACUGGACUCUUACGCAGCAGUGAAGACAGGUGUCCCAUCACUGGACUCUUACGCAGCAGUGAAGACAGGUGAAUUGCAAGCUAUUCCAUCACUGGACUCUUACGCAGCAGUGAAGACAGGUGUCCCAUCACUGGACUCUUACGCAGCAGUGAAGACAGGUGUCCCCAGCAGUGAAGACAGGUGUCCCAUCACUGGACUCUUACGCAGCAGUGAAGACAGGUGUCCCAUCACUGGACUCUUACGCAGCAGUGAAGAACCAGAGGAAGAUGUCCCAUCACUGGACUCUUACGCCAGGCAGUGAAGACAGGUGUGCCCCCAUCACUGGACUCUUACGCAGCAGUGAAGACAGGUGUCCCCAUCACUGGACUCUUACGCAGCAGGAAGACAGGUGUCCCAUCACUGGACUCUUACGCAGCAGGGAAGACAGGUGUCCCAUCACUGG